rnacentral:rRNA from 1 species
AGCGAACGUUGGCGGCGCGCCUAACACAUGCAAGUCGAACGCGAAAAGUCUUCGGACUGAGUAGAGUGGCGCACGGGUGAGUAACACGUGAGUAAUCUGCCCUUGGGACUGGGAUAACAUUCCGAAAGGAGUGCUAAUACCGGAUAAGACCACGCCCUCUGCGGAGGGUGUGAGAAAAUGACGGGGAUCCGCAAGGACCUGCCACCCAAGGAUGAGCUCGCGGCCUAUCAGCUAGUUGGCGGGGUAACGGCCCACCAAGGCGAAGACGGGUAGCUGGUCUAAGAGGAUGAUCAGCCACACUGGAACUGAGACACGGUCCAGACUCCUACGGGAGGCAGCAGUGGGGAAUUUUGCGCAAUGGGCGAAAGCCUGAUCCAGCAAUGCCGCGUGAGUGAAGAAGGUCUUCGGAUUGUAAAGCUCUUUCGACGGGGACGAUGAUGACGGUACCCGUAGAAGAAGCCCCGGCUAACUUCGUGCCAGCAGCCGCGGUAAAGUCGU